GACGGUCGUGGUGGUCGGCGACGAGGUGACCGGCAGCGGGAGAGACGGGUUAGGCGGCGGUGAAGACAUGAUCGAACCGAAGUUAGCUGGUACCAAAUUUCUAUAAGGUUUUUGUAAUUAUGUUUAUGUUAGAAGGUUUAGAUGCCAUACUCUGCAUGGACUGUUACUAAAAGAAAUUUCCGUUGUUCUUAGGUACUAAUCAGGUUAAUGACGCCGCCGAAUAGCUGUCGUUGGCUAUAAUGUGAUUAGGUACCAAUCCUGUUAUUAAAGCUGUUAUGGUAUAUGCUGCUGCUACAUAAUUAUACUCUUAUGUGGUCAGCCAAGUGUUCUUCUAGAUCUACCUUUGUGUAAUGUAUAACUGAAGUACGACCAUUUUCUUGCAUAAACUAAGCAUACUAGGAAGAAUACAAUGCCAAAAUAACUGUUAAAAUUUUGUGCGGCAAGAGUAAAUUGCCUUUUCUGUGCUUCAGAGUAGAUUGCUACAACAGAAUGUUCACAGUCACUAUUCCAAGUUUUUUGUGUGUCAGCCUGUCAGGCCUUAAGAGUAAAUUGCCUUUUCUGUACAUUCUGUUUGGCCGUUUGUUUGUUCUUGUGGCUUCCAAAAAAGAACCCUGGAAUGUUUGUUCUGCCAGGGCAGCUCUCUUUGGCUAGGACAUUUUGGCUAAAAAAACAUAAAUGAACCUAAAAUGUAUUAAUAUUUUAUAUCACUUUUUGUAUUGAUGUCCUUCAUGCAUGCUCAUCUACCAAGAGGUCAAUCCAAUAAUGCCACGCGCUCUUCAUCAGGCGCCAAGCCCUCCGAUGCCCAGCCGUGCGCUGUUGUCUCUGCCUGAAGAAGGAUUAUGGUCCUCCACCUCUCUGCUACUCGUAUUAAAAUUCCGGUGUGUUCUUUCUUUCUUUAUUUUCUGUCAACAAAAAGGUGAACCUGUUCUUAAUUUCCCAUAAUGAUUUCAAUGGAAAUUUGUGAGUGUAUUUCUAGCUGGAAUUGCAUGUAUAUCUUACAAAUUUACAUAGCAACAAAUUAAUAAGGAGAAUAGAAGCAUUUGCGUCCAUCUAACAUAUUUGUAUGGUAUUUUAAAAAAAGCUCAAGGUUAGAGAUAUGGCGCUGUAUGAGGCUAUCAUUAGGAUGGAAAAUAAAUUAAUGUUAAAAUAUUGCUUGAGUUUCCUUCAUUCUGUAAACCGCAAUACAAGCUAUGUUUGCGCAAUGAUUCUAUUCCAAUUUUUUUUAACAACUGGCAAUUAACAACACAUCAAAUGUUCUGUAUUGAAAUGGAUCAUUUUGUCAGGUUGGGUUUAGUAGGUCAUAAUGGUUUUAUUCCACGACAGGGUUAAUUUUGUUUAUAUUGUAACCAGUUCAGGUAAUACAGGGGAAAACAACAUUUUUUUGGUUCGUUUGGUAAGAAUAGUCGGGUAAUGAUCUUAAUGAAACACUGCAUUUGUUUGAUACAAGUCGCUGGUACAAUUUGCACCUGGCAAUAAAAUUGUAACACUAUCUAUUUUAUCAGGUAAAAACACCAGCAUGUUGUUUGAGGUGCAUGCAUCGGUUGUAGCGAAGAUGUGCAUAUGACAAUACAUUGCUAACCAUGGAGCACCGCAAGGAUUUAGAAUAUGUACCGCAACUUAGAGACUUGACACAUUGCCACUUGCUCCUACCACCAUGCAAGUGGGCGAUGCUUUAGUGUUGAACUAUUGAUUAAUCCCUCUUUUUUCUUUAAUCUAUGUGAUGGUGCCCCUUAUCAUAAAUAAUUGUUAUGUGGAUUCAAUAUAAAGGAUGUUUUAAACAUGUUUGAUAGUUAUAAAAACAAAUGUCAUUGACGAUACAUAUUGCUAUUAUGGAGACGUUUUGAACUAUUGUUCAACUGCUAUUCAAUGUUUGAUGCCCCUUCAUUAUUUUUUUAUACAAAAG
rnacentral:lncRNA from 1 species